ACCCGUACCCAUCCCGAACACGGAAGUUAAGCUCACCAGCGUACUGGAUGGUACUGGAGUGAGAGAUCCUCUGGGACGUGCAGUUCGCCGCCUCGU
rfam:Halorubrum vacuolatum strain DSM 8800 genome assembly, contig: Ga0170423_102